CAAGAGAGAGAAGAAGCCAUCUAGCUACUAACUACGGACCCGUAGGUCUGAAGUGAACCACUCACGAGUCAUUGGAGGGGCGAUGAUGAUGAAGAAGCCCUCCAACUCCAAAGUCCCCUCCGGUAGGGCGUCGGGAAGGGUCUCCAGAUGAGAUCUCGCGGAAACGGAAGCUUGCGGCGGCGAAAAGUAUUUUCGAGGCUCCCCUGAUUUUUUGCGGAAUAUUUGGGAAUACAUAGGCCAAGGAUCUAGGUCAGGGGGCGGACAGGGAGGCCACAAGCCUAUCCACCGCCGCAUCCCCCCUGGUGGCGGAGUGGGGGCUUGUGGGCUCCCUGGAGCCCACCUGGCUUGUCCCAAAGGCCCCCUGAUCUUCUUUCGUUCAGGAAAAAAUCAUUUCGGGGUUUUUCUUCCGUUUGGACUCCGUUCCAAAAUCAGAUCUAAAAAGAGUCAAAAACACGGAAAAAAC
rnacentral:lncRNA from 1 species